UGAGCAAUCUGCCCUUCUCAUCGGAAUAAGCGUUGGAAACGACGUCUAAUGCCGAAUACGACCUCCUUUCGCAUGAUCGGAGGUGGAAAGCUCCGGCGGAGAAGGAUGAGCUCGCGGCCUAUCAGCUAGUUGGUGUGGGUAAUGGCCCACCAAGGCGACGAUCAGUAGCUGGUCUGAGAGGAUGAUCAGCCUCACUGGGA
rnacentral:rRNA from 1 species